rnacentral:rRNA from 1 species
UACGGGGGGAGCAAGCGUUGUUCGGAUUUACUGGGCGUAAAGGGCGCGUAGGCGGUCAGCACAAGUCAGAUGUGAAAUCCCCGGGCUCAACCUGGGAACUGCAUUUGAAACUACGGGGCUAGAGUGUGUCAGAGGGGGGUGGAAUUCCUGGUGUAGCGGUGAAAUGCGCAGAUAUCAGGAGGAACACCGGUGGCGAAGGCGGGUCUCUGGGCCGAUACUGACGCUGAGGAGCGAAAGCGUGGGGAGCGAACAGG